AGUGAGGAAUUUUGCGCAAUGGGGGAAACCCUGACGCAGCAACGCCGCGUGAAGGAUGAAGGCCUUUGGGUCGUAAACUUCUGUCAGAGGGGAAGAAAUGCCCGCAAGGGAGCUGACGGUACCCUCAAAGGAAGCACCGGCUAACUCCGUGCCAGCAGCCGCGGUAAUACGGAGGGUGCAAGCGUUGUUCGGAAUUAUUGGGCGUAAAGAGCAUGUAGGCGGUCUGUUAAGUCUGGUGUGAAAGCCCGGGGCUCAACCCCGGAAGUGCAUUGGAUACUGGCCGACUUGAGUAUGGGAGAGGAAGGCGGAAUUCCGAGUGUAGGAGUGAAAUCCGUAGAUAUUCGGAGGAACACCAGUGGCGAAGGCGGCCUUCUGGACCAAUACUGACGCUGAGAUGCGAAAGCGUGGGGAGCGAACAGGAUUAGAUACCCUGGUAGUCCACGCCGUAAACGAUGGGUACUAGGUGUUGCGGGUAACCACUCCUGCAGUGCCGCAGCUAACGCAUUAAGUACCCCGCCUGGGGAGUACGGCCGCAAGGCUA
rnacentral:rRNA from 1 species